rnacentral:rRNA from 1 species
UGGUUCCCAUAACGAUGAAGAACGCAGCGAAGUGCGAUAAGCAGUGCGAAUUGCAGAACCGUGAGUCAUCAGAUUUUUGAACGCAAAUGGCGCCAUUUCUCUAUCGAAAUGGCAUGCUUGUUUCAGUGUCUCGUUAUCUCCUCACCCAAAUCUUAAUGCGAGGGAUGCCCUUCCCACGCUAAGUACGAAAGCAC